rnacentral:rRNA from 1 species
CCCUAGUAACGGCGAGUGAAGUGGGAAAAGCUCAACUUUGUAAUCUGGCAGCUUCGCUGUCCGAGUUGUAGUCUCGAGAAAUGUUUUCCGCGCUGGCAUGUGUAUGAGUCUGUUGGAAUACAGCGUCAUAGAGGGUGAGAACCCCGUUCAUGACACAUCUACCAGUGCUUUGUGAUACAUUUUCGAUGAGUCGAGUUGUUUGGGAAUGCAGCUCAAAAUGGGUGGUAAAUUCCAUCUAAAGCUAAAUAUUGGCGAGAGACCGAUAGCAAACAAGUACCGUGAGGGAAAGAUGAAAAGCACUUUGGAAAGAGAGUUAAAAGUACGUGAAAUUGUUGAAAGGGAAACGCUUGAAGUCAGACGUGCGCAGUGCGAUUCAGCUCUAUUUCGGUAGAGUGUAUUUCGUGCUAUUGCAGGCCAGCAUCGGUUUUGCGAGCCGGAUAAAGGUUAGUGGAAGGUAGCAUCUUCGGAUGUGUUAUAGCCUCUAACUGAAUACGGAUUGCGAGACCGAGGGACGCAGCACGGCGCAAGCCAGAAGAUUCGUCUUCUUCGUGCUUAGGAUGCUGGUGAAAUGGCUUUAAA